AACGAACGCUGGCGGCAGGCCUAACACAUGCAAGUCGAACGCCCCGCAAGGGGAGUGGCAGACGGGUGAGUAACGCGUGGGAACCUACCUUUCGGUGCGGAAUAACUUCGGGAAACCAAAGCUAAUACCGCAUACGCCCUACGGGGGAAAGAUUUAUCGCCGAUAGAUGGGCCCGCGUCGGAUUAGCUAGUUGGUGAGGUAAUGGCUCACCAAGGCUACGAUCUGGAGCUGGUCUGAGAGGACGACCAGCCACACUGGGACUGAGACACGGCCCAGACUCCUACGGGAGGCAGCAGUGGGGAAUUUUGGACAAUGGGCGAAAGCCUGAUCCAGCAAUGCCGCGUGCAGGAAGAAGGCCUUCGGGUUGUAAACUGCUUUUGUACGGAGCGAAAAGGCUCUCUCUAAUACAGGGGGCUCAUGACGGUACCGUAAGAAUAAGCACCGGCUAACUACGUGCCAGCCGCCGCCGUAA
rnacentral:rRNA from 1 species